rfam:Ictidomys tridecemlineatus contig067908, whole genome shotgun sequence.
AUGUUUCUCAGUGGUAGAGCACUUGCCUGGCAUGCAUGAGGCCCUGGGUCCAAGUCCCAGAAACAUA